rnacentral:lncRNA from 1 species
CGUCCUAUGAGCUGUCCCGGCCGGCUCUCCUCCGUUCCAUCCUACUGCGGCGGUUUCCGAAUCGAUCUCUGCCACGGCCGCACCUAGUGUUGGGCAGCAAAAGUAGACUGUAAUACCCUGAAUUUUUAUAAAGGUUAAUUUCAGAUUGGAACGAAAGAAUUGACCAGAAUUUGACUUUCCGAAUCACAGGCCGUACGGAAAAUCGAAGACCACGGUUAGAUUCGUCUCGUCCAGUUGAUCGAAAUUGACUAUAGGUUCGUCAAUUUCGGAGCCCGGAUCAAUUUGCCGCAACACCCUUUAUUUUCAGCCUUUAAGUGAAUUUGGAAUUAAAGAAAAAAAAAACCCAGCGUGCGGUGUGGAACUGAGUCGGAGAAGGAUCGGGGACCUUGGUUUAAUCCCCUGUUUUACUGCCCAAGGCCGAGAGCAACCCCAGCCGCCAACGCCUAGGGUUAGUUCGCCGUUGCCGCCGUCACGAGCUCGCCUCUGCUGCUGUCUGGUGACUGCCCUGCUGCUGGUGCCGCCGUGGUUGCAGUCCGCGCUGCUCGCCGUCGUUGGAGUCCUCGUUGGUCGCCGUCGCUACUGCCAGGUACGAGUUGGGCUGUUUCUCUGCCGCCUGGAAGUAUUUUCCUCGCUCGCUGCAACUCGUUCCAGUGAAUUGAAUUGACAAGUUCUGCUCUAGCUGCUGUUGCCCGAUUGAAUCAACUGCUAGUUCAAGCCGCUGGUUGUUUAGCACCUGGAAUUAGUACACUGCUGUUUAGCACCUGGAAUUGUUGCUAGAAGCUGUGUGCAUCGAAUUGAGGUGGCUUGUUUGGUCAGCUUCAGCAGCAUGUCAGGUUUUAGAUGGAUUGUUCUUUUAACCAGAAAGGCUAUCAGUACAUAACAAGUUUGGCAAGUCUGUACUUUUCUGUUUAUUGGAAACAAGACACGAAUCUGGUUUGGUUGGUCUUGGUAAAAGUAAUAAAAUGAGCAGAUUGUGGCUUAAGUUUAAAUGCCUUGUCCAGCCAUGUUUAGUUGUCAGCUCUUUUUAUUAAAUCUUAGGAUUUGAGUUGGUAUUAAGACUUGCUUUACCCCACCGGUCCAGGAGUUUCGGGUAUGAGGCAUAAAUCUGCAGAUUAAUUGUCCGUCCUAUUUCGGGAUUAAGGCAAGUACAUGACGAGCCCCCUUUGACAUUGUUUGCCAACGUUGUUUGGUUAUCCGAGUUGAUAUUUGAAUUCCUUGGGGUUUGUGCUAUCGGAAGGUUUUGUUUUAAGCCAGGGCGGUGAGUAAGUUAUAGGUAACUAUUCCGGUGCGGUCGGUGAGUUAAGUUAUUAUGUAACUUUCUGGUGAGCUUGAGCUAAGUCGGUGAGUAAUUCACUUGUUUAACUAUUCCAAUGCAGACGGUGAGAAAGUUAACGGUGAAUAUUCCAGAAUGCUCCAAUCAAAAAAAGUACAAAGUUUAUAAAGAGUUUCAUGGCUUUAUUUUGGACAGUGUUUCAAUAUGAUGAAUGUUGUUAUUUUGGCUCCAUACUGUCCUUUGCUGAGUAACGAUUACUCACUCUUGCUCUCUUGUUGUUUGUUUUAUUUGGUUUUCAGGUACUCCGAGUAGUGGCAUGCAUGGGCGGGAGUAGCAUCACUAUGCACUGGACAGCACACAUAUCACAUAUUAAAGAUUAAAGUUUUAGUUUCAUACCUCCUGUUUUACUUGAGAAACAGCCAGCAUAGAGAACCCUUUUGCAUUCUCGUGUGAGAUUUAGUCUUUGGUCGCUUAUUGGUUACUUGUAUUGGAGUAUUUAGUUAUUAUGAACUUCGUGCAUGUCUUUCUAGCUUCCUGGUUAUAUUUGAGAGAUAUUAUAAAUUGCCUGUUGUGGAUGUCCAUAUAAACAAAGGAGACUUUGCCGAAAAUUCUAGUUUUUUUUCCUAAGAGUUAGCUUUAUUUGCAUAGUGUAGUAAUAUUCCGGAUAGGGUCGAUGUACGGGGUGUUACAGUUGGUAUCAGAGCCUAGGCUUUAGAUCUCUGGAGUAGGUUACCUGGAAAAAAAAUUGAACUAGGAUUUAACAACUUAAAAUUUUGACACACUGGUGCACAAUAGGAUGGGUUAUUGGGUUAUGCAUUGCAUUUUUAUUACCAUCCUCAGUUUUCAUGUUUAUGGACUUUCUUGAUUAAACUUGUUCUUGAUUUUGUGGUUUUGCUCAGAGCGAUGCCACCGAGGCGUCGUGGUCGUGGUGGAGGUCGUGGAAACAAUGGGGGCGGCGGUAGCGACGCAAAUCAGCCUACUGGUAGCAGUCACGGAGAUGCAGAAGCAUCUGUGAGCCAAUCUAGUGAUCAUGAUGCCCCUGCUCCAACUAUGACGCUCAGCAAGUGGUUGGCCAUGCGCUUGGACACUUUUGAUGGAACAGGGACACCCAUGGAGGCAUCAAGUUGGUUGCACACAAUGGAGAAGUACAUGGGUGCCUUAGUGAUGACCCCGCAGGAAAGGGUUGUCUUUGUAGAUUUUCAGCUAAAGGGUUUGGCUGAUGUGUAACAUCCCAAUUUUCAAAACUCUUCAUAUGCAUUGCAUAUCAUAAGCAUCAUGUCACCCUUGCAUUUAAUCAUUUUCAAAACCCUAAAAUUUGUCCAGAAAACCCUUUUGCAAAGAUGCCUUUAUUUGAUUUUGGGUUUUGAUCUUGCUCUUGAGUAUUUGCAUUUUAACCCAUGAGGGUAUUGUGGUAAAAAGGGAUUUAAUGCAUAUAUAGAGCUAUCCCAUAAUUGGCUUUUAAGUAUUUUGAAAAAUAAUUUGUUUCGAUAGCCUAAGGGCCCUAAAAGCCAUUUUAUAGGCAAAUAUAUUUUUAGAUAUUUUAUUAUGAGAAAAUUCUUGUUUCAAAAGUUAAAUCAUAUGAAAAUAUGAUUUUUUUUGUUACAUUUUAUUUGGAGUGAUUUGGAGCUUCGAAUCAAUUUUGAGGUUCAAAAACAGAAAAUAGAUAAAAGAAAAAGAAAAACCGAGGAAAACCGGUCAAACCGGACCGGACCGGACCAACCGGACCGGCUCAGCCCAGCCGGAGCCGCCCGCUCUCCCUGACCGGUGGGACCCCCGCGUCUUCUUCAACCUCCGACCGACAAAUCCGGCCACGCACGCUCCGCGAACUGCCGACGAUUCCACCUCCGAUUUCUCCGCGCACGGGCCGUUUCCUCCAAAUUCCUGCGCGUCACCUCGAAGCCCUCGAACUCCUCUACCAAUUCCCUCAAACCGCUCGCCCAAUUUCGCUUCGGUUAGGAUUUAAUUUCUCGCCGAAGUUCUUCACGGACGUCGUCGUUCUUCGCGUUUUGCCGUCGUUCCGGUGAGCUUCCGCCCGCGCCGACCCUCUCCCCUUCUUCCUCUCUCCAGCGCGUAUGCCGUGACGCACUCGCUUUCGAGUUUGGCCGCCGUUGCCGCGCCGUCCUUGCGCCGCCGUCCACUGCCCGUCUUCCCCGCCUCCGGCCGCCUGCCCGCCCCGAGCCGCUCGCGCCGCUCCGCCUUCCGCCUGCCCGCGCGCCGCCUCCUCCCGCGCUGCCCCGAGCUGAGCUCCCCGCGCCCGCCGCCUGCGUGCCGACCGUGCCGCCGCUCGCGGCCCCGCGCCGCUCGCCCGCGCUGCCGCACCGCCCCGCGCCGCUCGCCGCCGCCGUCCGGCGAGCAAGCCCCGUCGGCCGGAACCCUAGAUCCCGGCCUAUCCCGCGCUGCCACGUGGCAAAGCAUUUUGUUUUAUUUUAAUUCGGCCGAAUUAGAUAAUGCAUUUUUGCAGAAAAGUCCCUGUAACUUCAAAACCUCAUAUCUUUCAAACCGUUUGUCCAAAAAUUGUGAUCCGCACCUUUCUGGAAUCGUCACAACGUGCAGAAUUUUUGGCACUGUUUAAUUUCAGUUUUGAACAACUUAGACAGUAGCUAUUUACAGAAUGGUUGAAUAUGGUUUAAAUUUCAAAUGAAUUGUUUCAAAAUAGUUUUUGAACAUGUUAUCUUGCUGUAAAAUUAUUUAAACUUGUUCUCUGUCCAUUAGGACCAGAAAAGAAAUUAUUUUGUGUAUAAUCAUGGCAUGCAAGUUAAAUAUUGCUCUAUGUUGCAAAAGCCGCACAAUCUUUUGUUUUAAACCCUAUCCAUGUAUCAUGCAUAUUAAUUACCACUUGAUGUUGUAUAAUCUGUCCAAAUCUUUUGAAAAACUUUUCAAAACAGAAACAAAACUUGUAUUUUGGAAGUAACCUUUGUGUGCAUCAUCAUGGCAUAUGCAUCAUGGCAUGGCUUUUGUACUGAAUGUUGUGUUUAUUGUGUGUUUGUUUCUUUUAUUUUAGAUUGUGUGGAGUGUAAUUCCUUGUUAUUGCGAAGAGUGCGAGAACUAUCACAACCUUGGAAAAUGCAAGUUCACUUUGAUCAUAUCCCAUUAUUAUUGUUGUUUUAAAAUACUUAUGCAUAGUGUUGUUGGUAGAGAUGCAUUGAUAGGACUAUUACUCGUACCUCUAUGCUAGCUAUAAAUCUCAGGUAGUAUAGUUUACCCUCGCCAUUACCUUGCCACCAAAUUGCCAUCGAUUGUAGUUGAAUGCUAGGCUAUGGCAGUAUCGUGGGGGAAAUUACUACAUUAUGAUAUUGUUAUGCCUUUGGCGAUAUGAAAUGUUUUAUUAGAUGUAAGGCAAAACAAUUAAUUCAAUGAACCGUCCUGGGUGGGCUGCUUUGAAGAUUUUGAGGAUUAGCGGCGUCAGGUCCAUUUGUAUGGGUCCCUCUGAGUCGAGUUCCUGUGGAUUCAGGAAUGGAUCGUCCAUGGAUGUCUCUCCCGUGGAUUCGGUGAGCGCUUACGUUGCAAAUGUGGAAUGCCACCUGGGGUAAUUGAGACUGGACUAGUUUCCUAUUUAGAAGCUUCUAGUACAACCACAAUGCUAUAUGGGCUCUGGCGAGACAAGAGUAAGUUGUAUGAACCUAGACCCGAGGAAUUGUACUGAGGUAGCCGUGUAGGGGGAGCGUGAUUCUCUCGUGGUUUAGGGAAUUACCUCUGAAAAUCUCGUAAUCGAUGCCGUUGCUACUCUACCCUGAGGACAGCAAGGGAUUAACACGUCGGUUUCUUGUGGGGAAUGUGUACAAACUCUCGAGAGCGUCAAAACUAAGUACUUAGCCGUAUCCCCGGCAACGGACAAUUUGAGCAACUAGAUGUGGAGCUGUAAGGAAGGUCUCACUCAUUCCAAUUUCUUAAAUAAAAUAAAUGGUUUGAACAGGGUAGGAGCACUUGAAGAAUCCACUUCAAUGUACUCUAAGUUAAUAGGAGCAUGGGUGUGUCUACCUCGUGUCCAUUAGUUAACAUUAUUAUAACAUUCCUUCAUAGUAGGGUAAUUUAUGUUCCGCUUCCACGCAAACAGCUUGAACUCCACUUGCCACAUUAUGCAUAAACUUAGUAGGUUCUGAUAUAACUCCUAGUGAAUCUUGCCAAUACAUUCAAUGUAUUGACCUUAGUGGCUGCAUCGUUUAAUGAUGCAGGAAGCUCCGACGACGAGUAAGAUGAACGUUCUGCUUAUUUGGGUUACGGACUUACAUUCCAACACGUUCUCACCGUGGUGUUGAUGUGCCCUUGUAUCUUUCGUUUUCCGCUGCUAAACAGUUAUUUUAUUUCCAGCUAACCCGUGAGGUUAUGCGAGUUGUAAAUACCCUUUAAAUUCUGGAUGAUUCGUUGUAAUAUUGAGACCUUUGUUCUAUGAUAUUACAUCUUGAAACUGUGUGUGCUAGUGAGUCAAUCCAGGGACUAGCACUAAAGCACAGAGAUCGAACCCGUGUACGGGGGCGGUCGCUUCAUGAUGAUUGGUGGGAAGGGGUCCGUGCAGCUUGGACUCCAGCCCAUGGAGCACCCACGUGGAUGUUUUUGUUGAGCAAUUCACUGCUAAGUACUACCCCAGUUCUUUACUGACAAGAUGGAGGUUGCCCUAAGGAACAUCCAACAAGGGAACCUGACCGUGGAUGAGUAAGAGACAGAAUUCAGUAAGAUCGUUCGCUUUGUUCCAUCAGUUGAUAAGAAUGAGCCAGCGAAGGCUAAGCGGUUCUUCGAAGGGAUGAAUUCGAGGUACCGAGAGGUCAUUGGGAUGAAACCACCAACUAACUAUCUGAAGGUGGUUGAGCAAGCUAGAGGGAUGGAGUUACAGGUACAGCUGACGGAGGCACGAGCGUCUCAUACUUCGAGGACUGAAGGCACAGGAAGUGGUCAUAAGAGGACUCGCCAGGAGGGGGAUGGGUCUACUCAGCGACCUAUAUUCAAGAAGUUCAAGUCAGGCCAGCGCAACCACCAAUCUUCCAAACCCAAGCUGUCAGGGCCUCACACAUCCUCAGCAUCACGCCCUACUUUUUUGAAACCUAUCCCAGGGCAAGGCAUGAUGUGUUUCAAGUGCGGUGAGGGACAUUGUGCUGCUGAGUGUGACUUUUCAGGGUCUUGUCGUCAUUGUGGCAAGAAUGGCCACAUGGGCAGGGUAUGCAAGGAGAAUCGAAACUCUAUCAUCAAGUGGCAAGUGGCUACAUCUUCAGGGGCACCUUCAGCAACAAUUAGUUCUUCUCGGGGACCAUCUACAUCAACUAGAUCGUCUCAUGGUUCUAUUCAGAUGAUGACAGCCCCUCCUCAUCAGUACUUGUCACAGUAUCAGCAGUUUCCACCUCAGUACCCUCAGUAUCAGGAGUAUCCUCCUCCGCCGCCAGGUUAUUACUGGCCUGCAGCUCCUCUGCCUGCUCCACACGCACCACUUCAGCUACCAGCACCACCUAUGGCUCCAGCAGCACAACAGAUAUCUGGAGAUUCUUCUUCGGCACAGGCAAGGAUUUAUACCAUGCCAACAGCUUCUUGUCUGGGCCGUUCAGAUGUGGUUACAGGUAUACUACCAGUGGAUUCCUUUGAUGCUUUCGUUCUCUUUGAUUCUGGUGCUACCUUUUCUUUUGUAUCGCUUGAUUUUGUUAAAAGAGCCCACCUGUCUAGUCAAGAGAUAUCCCAAUCCGUUCGAGUUAGUUCUCCUGGUGGGUUGAUCACCAGUUCAGUGGUUUGCCCCGGUUGUGUUAUCUCCUUAGAGGAUGAGGAUUUUGUGACAAAUUUGAUGGUAAUUCCUUUACCAACUUUUGAUAUUAUUCUUGGAAUGGAUUGGCUAUAUCGCUAUCGAGCAGUUAUAUCUUGUUUCUGAAAGACUAUCAGUUUGGAGGCCCCGUCAGGUAGAAAGAUAAUAUUUCAGGAGAGUGCACCCCCGCGUUUUCUAUCGGUUUUGGCUGCUUUGUUCCCUGGUCAAAGAGUUGUCAAGACCGGAAUCCUUUGGGCAUUGGUAGAGAAGCCAGGUAAGGACAAAUAGUGACUCCACGAAACAACCACUAACCUUGCAAGCCGAAAACGAAAAAAAACACAAACUCCUAUUGCGCAAUGUCAUUUUCCCUCCCGGCUCGAUGACGCCCUCAGGCCCUUAGCCGCGGCCCAGGACGGCACCAAUCGCGCAGAGGCCCUCUGCAUCUUUCCUCACGGCUCGAAGGCGACCGCUUGAAGCCUCACCUCCGCGGGGCCGCCGCCACCAGAUCCAGCCGCGCUGCCCCUGCACACUGCGUCUGGCGUGGCUGCUCUGGUCUCAACGCACGCUGCCGCUGCACACGCCCCAACCUGCGCCACCGCUGUUGCAUCGCCAUGCCCACACCACCCGCUCGCUGCAGAACGCUGCAGCCCGCCCCUCCGCUGCACACUCCAUCUCUCGCUGCAGAACACGCCCCGCCGCAGCCGUCUGCCACGCGGGCUUUGCCGUGAGGAGAGGCGAAAGUGGUCGAGCCGCCUCUCCGAGCGAGAGCAUAACUUUCGGAUCUCCGUUACAGAGUAGUUCGGUAUAUACUAGAGAUAAUUUCGGAUCUCCGUUCUAGUAACGGCCCUCUCUAGAUCAUAAGAAGAAUUUUGAAGGAAGAAUAGAGAAUUCUAAUUUUAAGGAAAAAUUCUUAUGCAUGCCCUUUAAAUCAAAGGGUUAGAUCAAUGGAGUUUCAUAGAAUAAAAAAAUUCCUCCAACUUUUGAAGAAAUUCAAACAUGAGGUUUAAGUAUAAAUUCAGAGGAAUUCUUUUAGAACUCCCAAUGCAUCUUCUCUCUGUCUGUCUCCUCUCUUUCUCCAAUUAAGUACCGCUAUUCGAAAUUACAGUGUUUUCCUAUCUAACAUCCAAAACACCUCUUCAUGAAAUUCCUGUGUUUUUGAUUCCGUGAAUCGAACAUGUGAAGGCAUUCUAAAUUUCUAAUCCAAGGAAGCACUAUCUAGACAGACGCACGUACGGACACAUGACAAGUCUAGCUUGUGCCGUCCUUUGCAGACAGUGACAUAUCUAGAGACAAAUGUUUGUAACCGAAGGUAAAAAAUGGGCAAGUGAUGGUCAGUGUGCUGUUCUAAUAACGUUUUUUUUUUCAGGCCUCGUUUGGUUGUAGUGUAUUAUAGGGUGUUCCAAGUAUUUUCCCCUAGUUUUGGUAUAUAUAAUCAGACACACAAAUGAUUGUAAAGAAGAAUGGUAAAUUGAAUGAUGUGUUUUGCUUGUAGGUAGUGGCCAUUGAUCAGGCUACACUGCAGUGCAUUACAAUCCUAGUGUGCUUAAAAAUAAGAGUGUAGAAGGGGGAAAAGAAACAAAGUAGAGUUGAGGCUACAGCUACAUAUAGCAUAUGGAGCUACAAUUACAACUCGACACUCAUUUCGCUGACUAGCACACGUGUUUGCUGAAUUACGUCACCACCAAUAGCAAAUAUGACUAUAUCACAACCCAACAGAUUAAGAUGGUGGACACAUCGGCUACAACCGAAUAGAAAUAAAUCUUCAAGCUGCUCACCCGGACAGAAAUGCAACUGCCUGCAGCGCUGGCUAAAGACUGAUCAUACCAAGUAGUUUAAACAUGCGCAAAGCCUGUAAUCUCUCCGCUUUGAGCUUCAUUGCCAGUUCUUUUGUAGCAAAAAUAUAAAAGGCACAAUGUUUUUACUUCCAUUUAGCUACAACGAUACUUUAUCUUCGAAAUUGACAAGGGGAGAAAAAGGGGAAGCAAACUUGUCAAGCUGCUGCUUGUAUGAUCUGUAAUGGCUCUUCUAGGGAUUAGGUACAGAGGCAAAAUAAACUCAACUUGCAGUAACAUACCUAAGUCAUUUGCCAGGAUCAGAGCUGAGGCACAUGAUGAUGAGAACUUCCAGCUGUUGUACCGUAAAAAACUCAACUCUUGCACUAACCUACCAAGAUGACCUAAAUCUGAAGCAUAAUUGACUACUAAUUUAACGGAUACUUGGCUUAUUAUGUUACUUGGGCUCUAUAAUGAACCAGAUCCAAAUUAUGUGGUUUAUCAAGGUUCUAUAAUGUCUUAAUAGUAAAUAGCUGACACUGUUUUCGUUAUUGGGUGCAUAUGAAUAAACUGAGUUUGCUCUCCUGAGUUCUGAUUCUUUUCUUAUUAGUUGAAUCCCUGAUACUAAAUACUACUCUAAUCAAUAGUCAUGGGGCAGGUCUAUGCUUCUGUAAUUUCUUAAUUAACAAUCACAUACACAAGCUAGUAGGUUGUAACAUGAGGAUAAAUAUUCAAUACACGCAUAGUUUUUCGUUGUAAAUGCACAAAUUCAAAAGUAUAUAGGUCAGACAGUACCAUCAGGGCCUAAAAAAUCAAAACGUUCAAGAAACAUAAAAACGUCACAAGACCAGUCAUCUUCCUAACCAGCGAACAAUCCCAUGGAUCUUAGGCCAAGAAGAGCAAAAAUCCUGGAAGAGCAAGAACCACAGACAAACCUCGGCGAGUCAGGAGAGAUGGUGGCAGUACCGGCGGCGGCGGCGGUUGGAUUCGUCGGAGUCGCCUGGACUUGCCGUGGAAUCGUCGGCGUCGCUCGAGGAUUCGUCGGUCGUCGCGGAGUCGUCUGCAGAAAGGAGUGCUCGCCGGGAUUGAGCUUCACGCCGCCGCGGACUCGUCGGGGUCGCCCUAAGACUCGUCGGCUGUCGUGGAGUCGUCGGCAGGACGAAGCGACCGCCAGGAUCGAGCUUCGGCUUUGGCAGCGCUCGUUGCGCCGCCGCGUCACGGCGUAAGACGUGUAUUGAAGGUUUUUUAUGGGCUUACCACCAGUCGAUACCGGGCUGCCAAAUGAAAUAUGGAGUGGAUCUGUGGGUAAACUAGCUUCUGGCCCGGUAAAAUACACUGGUAUUCUUCGAACUACCGGCCUGCCAAACGAGGCCUCAAGGGGAACCAAUGACCAUUCAAAUUCCCAACCAGGGAGCAAAAAUUCGGCCGAGCUAAACAGGCCAUAAAAACUAUGCCUCUUCUGCGAACUGGAUAACUUUGUUUUGAGGCCAUUACUGUUAGAGGGCCAUCCUGGCCCAAUAUGACGGUGUCGAUGUUAUAAUUGAAUGGAAUGAAGGUCUGUGUGAAGGCAUGAUGAAGAUCCCUACAGUUUAUAGGCUUUGUUAGCCUGUCGGAAUCCAUCUCGGUACAUUCUGAAUUUGUGAGGAAAUGUACCGAAGCCAAGCCUGUGGCCCCACAAGUUGUGGGUCUCCGAUUUCUGUAUGCUAUAGCAGGUGGGCUUCGGCCUUUUUGGUCCGUAUGCCAAGCUCGAGUAGUCGGGUAGCAGUACUUGUGUUGUGUUCCACUAAAUAAACUUGACCCCUCGACAAAAAAAAACUAAAUAAACUUGCGGUAAAAAAAAUACCU